rnacentral:rRNA from 1 species
UACGAAGGGGGCUAGCGUUGUUCGGAAUCACUGGGCGUAAAGGCGCGUAGGCGGCCGAUCAAGUCGGGGGUGAAAGCCUGUGGCUCAACCACAGAAUUGCCUUCGAUACUGGUUGGCUUGAGACCGGAAGAGGUAAGUGGAACUGCGAGUGUAGAGGUGAAAUUCGUAGAUAUUCGCAAGAACACCAGUGGCGAAGGCGGCUUACUGGUCCGGUUCUGACGCUGAGGCGCGAAAGCGUGGGGAGCAAACAGG